UUCCGGUUGAUCCUGCCGGAGGCUACCGCUAUUGGAGUUCGAUUAAGCCAUGCGAGUCGCGAGUCUUAGGGACUCGGCGUACCGCUCAGUAACACGUGGGUAACCUGCCCUAUGCUGGGGGAUAACCUCGGGAAACUGAGAAUAAUACCCCAUAGUUCACCACGCCUGGAACGGUGGGUGGACCAAAGCUCCGGCGGCAUAGGAUGGGCCUGCGGCGUAUCAGGUUGUAGGGGGUGUAAUGUACCCUCUAGCCCUCUACGCGUACGGGUGUUGAGAGACAUCGCCCGGAGAUGGAUUCUGAGACACGAAUCCAGACCCUACGGGGUGCAGCAGGCGCGAAAACUUGGCAAUGCGAGAAAUCGUGACCAGGGAACUCCAAGUGCAUCGGGUAAGACCGAUGCUUUUCUUGACUCUUCAAAGGUCUUGGAAUAAGGGGUGGGUAAGGACGGUGCCAGCCGCCGCGGUAAUACCGGCGCCCCAAGUGGUAGUCGCUUUUAUUGGGCCUAAAACGUCCGUAGCCGGUCUGGUACAUUCGUGGGUAAAUCAACCAGCUCAACUGGUUGAAUUCUGCGAGCACGGCCAGACUUGGGACCGGGAGAGGUGUGGGGUACUCUCAGGGUAGGGGUAAAAUCCUGUCAUCCUGAGAGGACCACCUGUUGCGAAGGCGCCACACUAGAACGGAUCCGACGGUCAGGGACGAAGCCUAGGGGCACGAACCGGAUUAGAUACCCGGGUAGUCCUAGGUGUAAACGCUGUGGACUUGAUGUUGGGGGCGCUCCGAGCGCACUCAGUGUCGAAGCGAAGGUGAUAAGUCCACUGCCUGGGGAGUACGGUCGCAAGGCUGAAACUUAAAGGAAUUGGCGGGGGAGCACCGCAACCUGAGGAUUGUGCGGUUUAAUUGGAGUCAACGCCGG
rnacentral:rRNA from 1 species